ACACCGGCAGCCCGAGUGGUGGCCACUAUUAUUGGGCCUAAAGCGUCCGUAGCCGGUCCGGUAAGUCCCUGUGGAAAUCCUCAGGCUCAACCUGAGGAAAUGCGGGGAUACUGCCGGACUCGGGGCCGGGAGACGCGGAGGGUACUCCAGGGGUGGCGGUGAAAUGCUGUAAUCCCUGGGGGACCACCAGUGGCGAAGGCGCUCCGCGAGAACGGGCCCGACGGUGAGGGACGAAAGCCAGGGGAGCGAACGGGAUUAGAAACCCUAGUAGUCC
rnacentral:rRNA from 1 species